CAUUUAAGCAUAUGCCAAAUUUGACAACUUAACCUCCUAACCUAGGUAUGGGGGAUAGCAGGAUAUGAACAGCAUGGCCACUCUUAAUGUUCAAACUACUAUUAUACGCGAAUAAGAGAAAGGACCUCAAGAGCAAAGGAUAUCCCCUCAAAAUAUCCAACCCAAAAACUGUCUCAACAUCAGCCAUGAAGUUCACGGUAGCAUUAGUCAAAACUACAUUUUCCUUAUGGUUACCUUGUAAUAGCACUGACAUGUGAUGUAGCUGAUAGUAGAUAUACCAAGAGUACCUUAGGUCUGGAAUCUGCAAAUUUGAUUGUGAACCAGCCCUUGUUUUGGAAACCCAUUUCGUGGAAUGCAUCCUCUGCUGCAUGAGCAAUUUAACAAA